rnacentral:rRNA from 1 species
GAUCCUGCUCAGGACGAACGCUGGCGGCGUGCCUAAUACAUGCAAGUAGAACGCUGGAGGAGGAGCUUGCUUCUCCGGAUGAGUUGCGAACGGGUGAGUAACGCGUAGGUAACCUGCCUGGUAGCGGGGGAUAACUAUUGGAAACGAUAGCUAAUACCGCAUAAGAGUAGAUGUUGCAUGACAUUUGCUUAAAAGGUGCAAUUGCAUCACUACCAGAUGGACCUGCGUUG